CAGGGCUGGGAUGCAAGGACCAGGCAGGGAUGUCCCUCCUCUAGGACCAUGAUGGUGGAUUCUGAAGCAGAGAGCAUUGGAGGCCCUGGACGUUCCCAGGGGCACUCUGAAACCCCAACUCCACCCGGUCCCACCACCUCAGAAGAGCAAGGUGCCUGGCUGUGACUCUGGGACUUGCUGCAGUCAUCAUACUGUGAGCCGAAAGGGCAAAGCCCUCACGGAGGAGGGCAGAGGUUGGAUGGGAAGCUAGCUGCCAUGUUGCGAGUUGCCUACGGGGAGACGCAUGAGGCAAGGAGUUGACGUCCCCAACCAACAGCCAGCGAGGACUUGAGGGCUGCCGACAGCCACAUGAGUGAGUUCGGAGACGCGUUCUCUCCCUAUCGAGCCUUGAGAUGACUGCUGUCCCACUGACAACUUGAUUGCAGCCUUGUGAGUGAUCCUGAGACAAAGGCACCCACAAAAGUGCUCCCAGGUUCCUGAUCCACAGAAACUUUGAGAUAAUAAAUAUGUUUUGGGGGUAAUUUGUUAGACAGCAAUAGAUAACCAAAACACACUUAUGCAACAAAACAUUCAUGGUGGCUUAUCUCUGGUAGUGCGAUUAUGAGUGACCUGUAUUUUCUUC